GGGAGUUUGGCCGAGUGGUUAAGGCGCCGUGUUUAGGUAGUAGCAAAAGGAGAUCCUUAGCAUACCAUAAAUCCCGCGGUGGGAAACCGCGCAGGUUCGAAUCCUGCAGCUCUCA